UUGGGCACCACGUGAGGAUGUUGCACAGAUAUACAUUCAGGAUAAACAUCUAUACACAUAAAAUAAAAACUAAUGACUGUGGAGUGUCAACACCGCUCCAAUAAUAAUUUCAGUGAUUUAUGGAGGUAUAAGAUCUGCAACUAACAUGAAGCAGGCACACACUCUCAUAGGCUUGGUAGAUGUGACCAUCAAGGCUGCAGCAACACUUUUCUCUCUUAGUCCUUAGAUGCCUUUCUUUUUUUAUUUUAUUUAUUUAUUUUGGUUUUUUGUUUCUUUUUUUUUUUUGGUUUUUCGAGACAGGGUUCCUCUGUGUAGACCUGGCUAUCCUGGAACUCACUCUGUAGACUAGGCUAUCCUCGAACUCAAAAAUCCACCUGCCUCUGUCUCCAAGUGCUGGGAUUAAAGGCAUGCACCACCACUGCCCGGCCUUAGAUACCUUUCAAAUACAAUCCUUCAAGGAGGGGGAAAAAAAUCACAUUACAAUUACUUGUUAAUCAUGUUUCAGUUACACUUUAUGGUUACAAGUUUCAUAUUUUUUAAAAACAGGUUAUUCUAAAUCCCACAUCUAAUUUACUCAUCUCUUCCCACAAUAUAUCCUAAAGUAAUACUUUUUCUAUUAUGAAUUAACUGAAUUUGAGCAAGCCGAAUAUUUUUAACUGCCAGUUUCUCUUGUACUGGCAGGUAGCAGUUUUCAGUUACUAGAGAGGAGAUAGACAUCAUGUUAUUUUAACUUAACACAAUUCUUAUUUAUCUAACAUAGUUAACCAUCUACCUAUUCUUAUGUUGUUUUCAUAGGAAAGUAAAUGUAUAGUUAACUAGAGAAUUUUAGGUCAGAGAUUUUUUUUUUUUUUUGAGCCAACAGAAAAAGAAGAAUCUAUUCAGUAACAUGCUACACAGCACUAAGGUCUGAAGUAGCACACUAAAACUCAUCAGCAAGUUUAUACUUAUAAAACCAGGAAAAUCAGAUUUUACAAUGGACAUGGAAGCUCAGUCUUAACAGUGGGCACUGAAUCUCCAUUGCUAUCCUUGGUCGUUAGCCUGUCCCCUGUAGGUGAAACACUCAAGCCCUUCACAACUGGGCUCGCUUUGUUCUUGUUCUCUGGCCUUAGCAGGUCUUUCAUUAGGUUACUAAGAAUACGUUUUUUAUUUUUUCUUGUACUCUAGGUUUUCUGCAACAAAGCAGCUAGCAAAGCACCCUAACCUGAUUUAAUUAAUUUUAUAUAAAAAGCACUUUGACCUAAUCUUUUUAACCAUAUAUAUUUUUAGGUUUUUUCUUAGAAAUCUUCAGCUGAAUCAUUAAUCAGUGUAGCAUUUGCUUUUUGAGAAAUCACUGCUAUUGUUAGGCAUUGUGAUUUCAUUGCAGAGUGGGAAAUUAGAAACACCCCAAAGAUAUUCAUACAAGGCUAAAAACAGGAUGACCAAGGCAGCAACAGGUACCCUUAGGGCUAGCAGCUGUAAGAGAGCUUCAGGAAAAGGACCCUCGGGGUUUUGCCUCUCUGAGGUACACUCAUGGUAGCUCUGCUGACUGGUGAGUCAUUUUCCUCAGGCUCCAAUACUGACUUCAGCUCUUGCAUGGGUACUGUCAGUGUAGUAUAUUCAGACUGUUUUCUCAGAGUAAUUAUAUGAAAUAGUGGGUUUUUAUAUUUGAUUAAGGUUUUUUUUCUAUAUAGAUUAUUUUUCAAUGUAGGAUUUGAACUUUGGUAGCACUUACUUACCAACCCUCAGAAGUCUGAGGCAGGAAGGCCUGAAGUUCAGGCUGACAUGGCCUGUGCAAUGAGAUUGUCCCAAAGAAAAGGAAGACAGACAGAGGCAGAGUGGAAAGAAGAACUCAAUUGCAUAAGUAAGUUUCUGGAUAAUGAUUUGGCUAGUUGACUUUAUCUACCAAUCAUCUUGGUUAUCCAUUUGGGAUAUUCAUAAUACUAUAAAAAAGUUUUACAUGUUUACCUGAAGAAUAACUCAUUAAAAAAGAACUCUAAAAAAAGCAUAGCCAUUCUGAUAGCAAAUGAGUAUGUUUCUCUAUACCAAGCAAUUAUCUUACUCUUCAUAUACUAGCUAGAUUGUUUUUUCACUUUUAAUUUAUUUUUUUAGUUUGUGGCUGUGUAUGUUUCUGUAGAGAUAAGUGGGGAAGUUGUCCCUGCCAAGGACCUUUGCAUACUGAGCCAUCUUGUCAGCCUUAGUUGAAUUUCUUAUCAUUUAGUUCAGUUCUGUCACUAUCUAUGUGGAGGAAGUAUCACAUCCCAUAGUUAAGACUGUCUUCAGUUCAUAGACCAAAUCCAAGUCUUGGCCUACAUAGGUACUUCUGAUUAACCAGCUAUACAGUAUUUCUGUGUCUUAGUUAGGGUUUCUGUUGCUGCAAAGGGACACUAUGCCAUGGCAACUCUCAAUUGGGGUGGCUUACAGUUCAAAGGUUUAAUCUAUUGUCAUCAUGGUGACAUGCAGGCAGGCAGAGGUUGCUAGAGGAGCUGAUAAUUCUACAUUUUGAUCUACAGACAGCAGGAGACAAUGAGCUACUAAGCCUGGCUUGAGCUUCUGAGACCUCAAAGCUUACCCCCUAGUGAUAGCUUUCCUCCAACAAAGCCACACCUAUUCAAAAAACCAAAAC
rnacentral:lncRNA from 1 species